rnacentral:misc_RNA from 1 species
UGUGGGAGCUGGCUUGCCUGCGAUGGCAUCACCUCGGUUUUCCAGGUGGGCCGAGGUGAUGCCAUCGCAGGCAAGCCAGCUCCCACA